GCUAGUGGUGCAGGUUGAUGAGCAGCAGGAGGAGUGUGACUACUGGUAGCUGGCACAGUAGCCUCGGCACUGGUACUGUGGCUAGUAGUACCAGUGGUGGUGAUGAUUGUUGGCACAGUUACUCUGGUGGUGGUAACUGUGCCACUGCGAGGAGGAACAGUGGAUCUGGAAAUAGUAGUGGUAAUAAUUGAUUGUGGUGGUGGUGGUGGUCUGCUAAUGGUUGA